AACCUAGCACACCUGCGGUGUGUACCUGCGGAAGGAUCAUUACCGAGUCCUGCCCCUGGGCAGAUCUCCCACCCUCUGUGAUCAGUACCCUCGUUGCCUUGGCGAGCCGCCGGCAGCGGCCCGCCAGAAGGCCCCCUAGACCCUAAAUGUCGGUGUCGUCCGAGUACAGUACGCAACGAUUAAAACUUUCAACAAUGGAUCU
rnacentral:misc_RNA from 1 species